GGCAGUAUGGUGCAGUGGAUAGAACACUGGACUGGGGCUCAGGAGGCCUGGGUUCUAUUUCCAGCUCUGCCC
rfam:Chelonia mydas contig228189, whole genome shotgun sequence.